rnacentral:rRNA from 1 species
GACGAACGCUGGCGGCGUGCUUAACACAUGCAAGUCGAACGGAAAGGCCCUGCUUUUGUGGGGUGCUCGAGUGGCGAACGGGUGAGUAGCACGUGAGUAACCUGCCCUUGACUUUGGGAUAACUUCAGGAAACUGGGGCUAAUACCGGAUAGGAGCUCCUGCUGCAUGGUGGGGGUUGGAAAGUUUCGGCGGUUGGGGAUGGACUCGCGGCUUAUCAGCUUGUUGGUGGGGUAGUGGCUUACCAAGGCUGUGAAGGGUAGCCGGCCUGAGAGGGUGACCGGCCACAUGGGGACUGAGAGACGGCCCAGACUCGUACGGGAGGCAGCAGGGGGGAAUAUUGCACAAUGGGCGGAAGCCUGAUGCAGCAACGCCGCGUGCGGGAUGACGGCCUUCGGGUUGUGAACCGCUUUCGCCUGUGACGAAGCGUGAGUGACGGUAAUGGGUAAAGAAGCACCGGCUAACUACGUG